AUGCUGGGGCCCUUCAGGGAACGGGUCCCCAUAACCCGGGGCCAGGAAAGGCCUGGCAUCGCUCCAACUCCAUGUUGCUCCUCCCCAACCGUGCCUUUCCACCAAGUGCAUCCCAGUAGAGAUCCCGUGCCUUCUAACGCGUCCGCUCUCCUUCCCCAACCCCCCAACCCAUCCUCUCACUACGUAUUCUCCCCCUCAGAGAUCUCAUCCCAGCCCCAGCUUCAAAUACUUGGUGAUUCUGUGCCCUCCUCUCCUGCCCACAGGAAGUGCCCCUCUCACCUCGGGGUUUGGGGGCUGUUUCGGCGUGGGGAUCAGGGGAAGGGCUUUCAGUGUCUCUCUCCUCGGAGUUAUCCGCGUGGGAAGAGCUGGGCCCAGAGCAGGGAGUCGGGGCUGCCGUCCACUUCCUUCACCUGCCGUCUCCAGACUGACUCCUCCCGCACCAGUAGGGUCUUCACAAGAGGUUCAGGGAAGCAGGGCAAUCCGUUGGUCACAGUUUGCCUCCCCUAUUACCACCAGAGGAACUUAAAGUCCUGCUGUUUAGGCAUUAAGAGAAUAUCAUACUCAAACACUCGUCUUCAUUCCACAUUUUCCUCCUCAGUUCCUCCUCAUCCACUAUUUCCUUCUCUUUUCCAGUCUUUGAAGGCGUCUCCCAUCUCGAUAUCCCAAUCCCCCUCCCUCUCAAGAGUCCAUCCUUCCCUAUAUCCUACAGAAGCCCUGGCCCAUGUCUCUUCUGGGUUCCAGUGGCAUCAAGGACCAUUGGUGGCCUGGGUGGAUGGGAACUUCCUCUGCUUGAGCUGCCCCGGAGUGAGGGUGGCCUGGGCUCGAUGCGCGGACAGAGCACUAGCUCCUCAGCUGUAUCAGCUUCUUUCAAGGACAAACUGCUCCUGCCUAAGUAAUGCGCGUUCCUCCCAUAAACAUAGCGUUGACCCUGCUCCUUGUCAUGACCUCGGCCACCACGUGGCCGUACACGUUUGUCUCCUGAGCUGUCACCUUUCUUUGUGCUGCUGCGUUAGCGCUAUCAUUUUUUAUAUUUUUAUAUCCCAUAUUUCACCCUUUCUUGGUUUUCACCCUCUUUUUCAUGGAGCAUAG
rnacentral:lncRNA from 1 species